UACGGAGGGUGCAAGCGUUAUCCGGAUUCACUGGGUUUAAAGGGAGCGCAGGCGGAUUUGUAAGUCAGUGGUGAAAGGCUUAAGCUUAACUUGGGAACUGCCAUUGAUACUAUAAGUCUUGAAUGUUGUUGAGGUUUGCUGAAUGGGUCAUGUAGCGGUGAAAUGCAUAGAUAUGACCCGGAACACCUAUUGCGAAGGCAGCAGGCUAAACAAAUAUUGACGCUGAGGCUCGAAAGCGUGGGGAUCAAACAGG
rnacentral:rRNA from 1 species